UACUAGAGUAGCACUCGCAUAUCAAUAAGCGGAGGAAAAGAAACUAACAAGGAUUCCCUUAGUAACGGCGAGUGAAGCGGGAAGAGCUCAAAUUUGAAAUCUUCAAGGUUCUAACCUUGACGAAUUGUAGUUUAUAGAAGUGUUUUCUGUUAGUAGAGUUGGCUAAAAGUUCUUUGGAAUAGGACAUCAUAGAGGGUGAGAAUCCCGUAUUUGGUCAUUCUUUCUAGCUGUCGUGAUACACUUUCAACGAGUCGGAUUGUUUGGGAAUGCAGUCCAAAAUGGGUGGUAAAUUUCAUCUAAAGCUAAAUACUGGCGAGAGACCGAUAGCGAACAAGUACCGUGAGGGAAAGAUGAAAAGAACUUUGAAAAGAGAGUUAAACAGUACGUGAAAUUGUCAAAAGGGAAGCGUUUGACACCAGUGUUGUUUUCUCGAAAAUCAAUUAAAAAUGAUGGGAUUUUGUGUUGUAUUGACUUUAUCAGCUUUCUGCACUUUUUUCCUAUCUUUUUUAAUGCACUUUUCGUUUAACAAGUCAACAUCAAUUUCUUUUGUUGUAAAAGAGUCAUUGGAAGGUGGCUUUCUUUUCGGAGAAAGUGUUUAUAGCCUUUGGCCUCUGCAGUCGGAGAGAUUGAGGUCUGCAGCGUAGAUCCUUCGGGGUUAGAUACAUUUGUGCUAAGCUAUAGCCUUUCAUAGACAACUUGUUGACUAUGAUCAGUCAUGUAGCUUACUCGCUUAUGCUAUUUUACCUACGCUUAGGAUGUUGAUAGUCACAGCGUGUAC
rnacentral:rRNA from 1 species